CUUGGUUUUAGCACCAUAACUUUAGUAUAAGUAAAUAGAAAUCUAUGAAUUUAAACACAAGGUUUAUGACCAUAAAAUGAAGGUUGGGUUUGAUUUUGGGAGUUUUGGUCUCAACAGUUUAGGAAUAAGGGGUCCAAAGGGUCCAAAAUUGAACUUUGUUUGAUUUCAUCAAAAAUUGAAUAAUUGGGGUUCUUUGAUAUGCCGAAUCUAACUGUGUAUGUAGAUUCAUAAUUUUUGGUCCCGUUUUCAAAUUGGUCUACAUUAAGGUCCAAAGGGUCCAAAAUUAAACUUAGUUAGAUUUUAACAAAAAUUGAAUCCUUGGGGUUCUUUGAUAUGCUGAAUCUAAAAAUGUACUUAGAUUUUUUUAUUAUUGGCCCAGUUUUCAAGUUGGUCCAAAUCGGG
rnacentral:lncRNA from 1 species